UACAGAGGGGGCAAGCGUUGUUCGGAAUUACUGGGCGUAAAGGGCGCGUAGGCGGCCGGCUAAGUCAGACGUGAAAUCCCUCGGCUCAACCGGGGAACUGCGUCUGAUACUGGUCGGCUUGAAUCCGGGAGAGGAAUGCGGAAUUCCAGGUGUAGCGGUGAAAUGCGUAGAUAUCUGGAGGAACACCGGUGGCGAAGGCGGCAUUCUGGACCGGCAUUGACGCUGAGGCGCGAAAGCCAGGGGAGCAAACGGG
rnacentral:rRNA from 1 species